UGUCAUUUGACAAUCAUUUCGCCGCCAAGGUGUUCAUUUUACUGGUCUUUUUGAAAACUGGUAUACCAUGACACUCACGAGCAAAAUGAACUAUGCUACAAAAAUUCGAUCGUUCCGCUUUGUAUGGGGCAAAAUCCGCGACGCAUUGAGCUGCGGAAAUUAUCGAAUAUCAGAAAAAUUCCGUAAAUCAAGGUUGAUAUUUUUGAAAAACGAUAUGUAAAAGCAAGUUGGUAGAUGUGUUGGUUCUUUUUCAAUAUUUUGGCUGAUAAAAAAUUAUUUAUAAAUUAUUUUAAAAAUUGUUUACCUGGGGGGGCAACUUCAUGCAGGGGUAUAAAAGAAAUAGUUAUACUGUCAGUUUUACGUGAGCGCCUAUCGAAUUUUUUCGAUCGAAAAAUUAUGCUGAGGCCGUAUAUUCGGAACCCCCAGGACAACCCCCAGGACAAUCGCAUGGCAAUCGGAUUGAACGCGCAACAUUUUCCAUACAAUCCGCAGUGUUGCGUUUUCUUCGCGCCAACUUUGCCUGUAUUUUCAAUGAGCCAAACGAUUUUACCCCCUCCUACACGCGAUGUAUCCUAAAGCACGCUUGUCGCGGCAACGUUCACCACAUACACACACACAUCUCCACACUCAGGGUACGACAUCUUCCCUGUUGCUGUUCUGGACUCAGACAAAAUUUGUGUUUCUACACUUAUUGUUCAAAAAAGUAGUAGCUCUUAGGAACUGAAUUUACAAACAAAUAUCAAAAUGUUAUGUUCUGCUAAUGAUAUUGCUCUAAAUUUAAAUGCACUACAUCAAAUUUUUACAUAUCUUUCGUAAAAGUUCGUCAGAGUAUGAAAAUGUCGAUACAAUUUGUCAUGAAUAACUUAAAUUUCAAGAUUUUCGCGUAUAAAAUUAUGACACGCGCUGUGUGUGCGGCGGCGUAAUUCGCUACUCGUAUAGCCGUCUCGCUUCUUCUUGUAUGUGCUUUACCGUUGCUCACCGCUUCAAGAACAUUGCUGCUCACACACACGUCAGUCUGUGGCAAACAAUUGGAGGGGGAGGAUGUGUCGGUUUGCUCCAGAAAUCGUGUGUGAUUUUGGUGUUCUGGAUUUGGUUCCAUCGCUGUUUGUUUUGGUGAAUUUGAAAAGGUAAGAAUCAUUAACCGAUGUAAAAGUGUGAGAGUAAGAUGAUGCUGAUGGUGACUGAUGCUUUUCUUUGUUUCUUUUCCUGCUUUCAUCCACUGAUGGUGUCGAGCAUCGCCGAGGAUGUGAUCGAAUGCGGAAUAUUCGAAACGAGGAGAUUCAUUCCGGAUUUUGUUUGCAAUAAGCGCUGAACUAAUCCUCCAGCUUACAGGACGGCAAAGGUACACGCACAAACGUGCACACCUCAGCCUUGUCGGAGAACGAGAACACGGGAGGGGGAGACCGGCAACGUAUAGAACCUUUACGCUCCCUCGUGCGUUCGUGCGUGCGUGCGCGCGCGCGUCUAUGAGUGUGUAUGUGUGUGCAUGCCUGCGUGCGUGGCUGUGUGUGUUUUUGCCGCUUCGCAUAACGAGAUCCUACGGGAUCACCUUGCGAAAAACACCAAGAGAGGGGGAGGGGUAGGUAUGUGUGUAUGUGUGUGUGUAUGUGUGCUUGCAUGCGUGCGUGGCUGUGUAUGUGUGCUUGCAUGCGUGCAUGGCUGUGUAUGUGUGUGUAUGUGUGCUUGCAUGCGUGCAUGGUUGUGUAUGUGUGUAUGUGUGCUUGCAUGCGUGCGUGGCUGUGUAUGUGUGUGUAUGUGUGCUUUUGCUGUUUGGCGAUCUCCUACGGAAUCACCUUGCGAAAACACCUGGGGGGGGGGGGGGGGGGGGGGGGAGGAGUGAGGUGUGUGUGUGCUUGCCUGCGUGCUUUGUGUGUGUGUUUUUGCGUUCACGUUCUACGGGAUCACUUUGCGAAAAACACCAAGGGGAGGAGGAGGUGUGUGUGUGUAUGUUUUUUUUUUCUUUGCCGAUUCGCACUCUCUCGCGGAUCUAGUUGUGUGCGUUAGUUUUUUUUUUUAGUUUCUUCGAAAAAUACCUGGGGGAGGAUGUGUGUAUGAAAGAAUGUACUUCAGAAAAGAAAGUGAAAAAUAAAAAACGAAUAUGAAAUAUGUUAAACGAAGUUUUAAGUGUGUCUGAACUCAUUGCAAUCCGAAAGAAAGCGAGGGGGGCUCUUAAAAUGUAGUACACAUGUAUGCAACAUGUAUCGUGUCGCCGCGACGGUAUAUCUCGCUCAAUCCGUUACCCAACCAGCAUUAUCGCGCGAUUUUUAUGUGUAUCUAUCAUUUUUCUCAUUCUAACAUUCACAAAAUUUUUCAUUCUGCCUCGCUCUUCUGGGUGUUGGUCUGUAUUUGCUUGCGACUUGGCUGUGUCGCAUCAACGAUUCGCAUGUUUCAUUUAGCUCAUCCCUUUCCAUCGUUGGAGAGAAACUCUUGCGUCUCGCUUUUCUGGGACUUGUCCAAAUUCGCUUGCUACACCAAUCGUUCACGCAAGCGUUCUCCUCUCGCCCGCUCUUUGUAUCAUUGUACAGGUACUCCCCGAUAUACGCUAUCAAUGCGUACCGGAGGCAAUAGCGUAUCUCGAAUAUUCAAUAGCGAAAGUCGAAUUUCGAGGUUUUCAGUCAAAUUAUAACUAAUAUCCGUAUAACUUUGCAUGAAGUGGUAGGUUUUAGCCACUUAAUUAGUUAUUUGAUCUAAUUUCAACUGAAUUUUUCAAUUUUAUACCAUUUGAAAUGGUUUUUAAUAUUCAACCAAAGGGAAUUUAUUUUGCAUUUGACAUUCGAUUUAUAAAAUUAGUACUACUUGUUCAAAGAACCGUCAAAUUUAGAAAAAAAGCGUAUAGCGAAAUCGUGUAUAUCGAGUAUGGCGUAUAUCGGGGAAUACCUGUAUAGCCACACGAGGAAGGCGCUGCUUCGCGUUCACAUGAAAAUGUGAUAGUGUGAAAUCAAGUUUGCAAGCGGUAGGACGCGUCGGUGUGUGUCCGUUUUUUCUCUCGUGAAACCAGUACGGAAAAACUAUUUGGUAAGUACAGUUUUUAAUAAAGGGUUAUAUCAAUCUUUAUCAAACUGAUUUGUAUUGAUAAUUGUGAUAUAAAAUCAAUUUCGUUUUUUUUUAAAGAAAUCGUAACACACGCACGAACGGAAGUGAGCACGGACCACAACAGAAGCAAUAUUCAAUUGGUUGGAGUGCCGAAAACAGAACAGGAGAGGAAAGAAGGCAGGAACGAUCCGAUCCUCCAACGUGCUAGCGCCUGGUAGAGGAGAAGCGGCAGGAAGGUAGAGACGAACAUCCACCUCGCUAGUGCAGCACGUAGGAGCAGCAAGAGGGAAGCAAGCAGGACGCGUACACACCAUUCGACGAAGGCAAAGCUGGAGGAAAGGAAGAACGAGGAGAGAAGGCAGGCAAGACGGGUACGUGUGUAUCCCGCACCGGUUUUCGGCAGUGUGAAUUGUGUGAGUAUUGAAAAGUGUAUGUGUGAGUAGAGGUAAAGAGGUUAAAUAAAAAGCGAAUGUGUGGAAUGGAAAAAUUAGAGAGAGUCUGUGUUUGUUUUGGGAGAGAGGAGAGAAUGAAAGAAAUUGAACAAUAAUUUAGCAUACAGAAACUACAUGUAUGAUACACGCUGUCGCA